AUAAAGUUAGAUAAAUUAUGCUGACAGAAUCAAAGCUUAGCUCAGCAAAGCUUAGCUGUUAAAUCAGCUGAUUGGGUGAAGCUUUCGUUGAUGACAGCUGUCAACAUAAGCUUUUAGAACACGGUUUUAGCACUUCCGAUCGCAUUUAAACGGGACGAGCCCCAGAAAAAUUCUUCUUUUCGUCUAUCUAAAAUUCUGAUCGGUUCGUGACCCGUCCGAUAGUGAGUUAAUUUUUUUCCGACCAACCACGUGUGUGUGAAAAAGUAAAAAUAAACGAACGCCGUGCAGUGAAUAUAAAUAUCAGUGAAUUUAAAUUUCACCUGGCCUAGAGCCAUCCCAACGUUUUUGGGCGAGCGUGCAAUCCACGCAAUCCCAAACUUUUUGGACUGGCGUUCAACCCACGCCAUCCACGACAGAAGAGAAAUAUAAUUAUCCACGGAAAUCCCGGAAAGAUUGGUAGGUCCAAUGUGGGAGAGACCCGAACAAAGGUUCUUAUAAUAGCUCUUGGCUGUAUUCCUUCCCCCCCCCCACAGGGCUUUGCUACGCUUUCCCCCCACACUCAGCCAGAGCAGCAGCGCAUUGACGUUUUGUUGGCAAUACGCUGAGGGGUGGGGAAUUUUUCUUGGGAGACCGGUGGAAGCCCGGCUCCAGAACCUAUGUAACACCAUAGCCAUGAUGUAACUUCACAAUGACCAUGACGUAACCUUGCAGUAACCUCUGCGCAGGCGCCACAGCCGACAGUGUCGUACCGCUAAGAGGGCCACCAUUAUAUCUUAGGCUGCAAUCAAAGCCUAAAGCACUGUCUUUUAUUUUAAUAAUUAAUUAAAUUUAAAUUUUGUUAAUGCUAAUACUCUUUUCUAUUAUUAUAUUCUAUUU
rnacentral:lncRNA from 1 species